ACUCCGGUGGCUUAAGUGGUUAGAGAGUCUGCCUCGGAUGCGGGAGGUCACGGGUUAAAACCCCGGUCGAGACA